GUCAUGUUCUGCUGAGUAAUUGGCCAGUGGAGCUGGGGUGUUUGGAAACUGAUGACUUAGUGGUUCAAAGGAUGCAGACAUUGCAUGGGAGACAAGCAGCCAGGAGAGGUUGCACCAUGGUCAAGGAAUCACAAAGAGACACAGUGCCUGCAGAAGUGCCUGUCUGAGCAGAAUGAAUGAACUCAUGGGAGGUUACAAGUACCAAAUGCUAUUCACAGGAGAAAUUUGAAUGAUAAAAAGG